rnacentral:rRNA from 1 species
AUUGAACGCUGGCGGCAGGCCUAACACAUGCAAGUCGAACGAGUGGCGGACGGGUGAUUAAUGUCUGGGAAACUGCCUGAUGGAGGGGGAUAACUACUGGAAACGGUAGCUAAUACCGCAUACCAUCAGAUGUGCCCAGGUGGGAUUAGCUUGUUUGUGGGGUAACGGCCCACCAAGGCGACGAUCCCUAGCUGGUCUGAGAGGAUGACCAGCAACACGGGAAAUGAGACACUGUCCAGAGUCGUACUGGAGGCAGCAGUGGGGAAUAUUGCACAAUGGGCGCAAGCCUGAUGCAGUCAUGCGGCGUGUAUGAAGAAGGCCUUCGGGUUGUAAAGUACUUUCAGCGGGGAGGCGUUACCCGCAGAAGAAGCACCGGCUAACUCCGUGCCAGCAGCGGCGGUAAUUC